rnacentral:misc_RNA from 1 species
GAUGAAGAACGUAGCGAAAUGCGAUAAGUAAUGCGAAUUGCAGAAUUUCCGUGAGUCAUCGAAUCUUUGAACGCACAUUGCGCCCGCCAGCACUCUGGCGGGCAUGCCUGUCCGAGCGUCAUUUCAACCCUCAGGGCCCCUUCGGGGGACCUGGCGUUGGGGAUCGGCCCGCCCCCGUGCGGCGCCGUCCCCGAAAUAUAGUGGCGGUCUCGCUGCAGCCUCCCCUGCGUAGUAGCACACCUCGCACUGGAGAGCGGCGCGGCCACGCCGUGAAACCCCCAACUUCUGAAUGUUGACCUCGGAUCAGGUAGGAAUACCCGCUGAACUUAAGCAUAUCAAUAAGCGGAGGA